GAUGAACGCUAGCGGCAGGCUUAGUACAUGCAAGUCGAGGGACAGCACAGGUAGCAAUACUGGGUGGUAACCGGCAAACGGGCGCGGAACACGUACACAACCUUCCUUUAAGUGGGGGAUAGCCCAGAGAAAUUUGGAUUAAUACCCCGUAAUAUAGUUGAAUGGCAUCAUUUGAUUAUUAUAGCUACGGCGCUUAAUGAUGGGUGUGCGGCUGAUUAGAUAGUUGGCGGGGUAACGGCCCACCAAGUUUACGAUCAGUAGCUGAUGUGAGAGCAUGAUCGGCCACACUGGAACUGAGACACGGUCCAGACUCCUACGGGAGGCAGCAGUGAGGAAUCUUGCGCAAUGGGGGCAACCCUGACGCAGCAACGCCGCGUGAGUGAGGAAGGUCUUCGGAUCGUAAAGCUCUGUCGGAUGGAAAGAACCGCAUAGGGGUAAACAGCCCCUGUGUCUGACGGUACCAUCAAAGGAAGCACCGGCUAACUCCGUGCCAGCCGCCGCGGUAAUAC
rnacentral:rRNA from 1 species